rnacentral:lncRNA from 1 species
UUUUUUUGAGCAAAGGUCUAAGUUUAUUUCAAACUUGCCACAAGGGUACUAACUUCAAAGAAAGCCUGGUCAAAUCUUGCUUCCACAAACAGAAUCUUUAUAAAAACAAAACAAACAAAGCAAAACCACUGUCUUGAUAAGACAGUUGGCCUAGGUGCAGAGAGGAACAUCUGUUAAAGUUUAUUGAUCCAGCUCCAAGAUUGUUACAAGUUUAAAUCUGCAAAACUAUGAUGUAUAGAUCCAUUUUGCAGGCUAAAUUCUAAUUUCACUGACCUGGAAGUUAAUCAGAUACACAACCAACUAGUAAAGAAAGAUUGCUCAAGUAUCUUAUCUAAAAAUAAUUAUAUUUUUUUCUCAGAUCUGUGACACUUCAUGUCCUUUUUUAUUCCUAAAAUUAAUCCUCAGAAAAAGGUGAGACAACGUAAACUGAACGUUCUAAUGUAUACUAUCUAUCAUGAAUAAAGACAGCGACACAAAUUUUUUGUGACUAAUAAGAAUUAUUAGUAAAAAUAAAAAUAAUAGUAGUAAAUAUUCAAUGUCAUCGCAUUGAACUAUGAAGAGACAUGAUCAGCCCCUACUGAGAAAACUUCAGUGGUUUUCUAUCCUUUACCACACUCUAAAUGGAAUAUUCUGUCAACUAACAAAUUCUCUCCAUUUUGACUUCCAUUCAUUAAGUAUUCUUAUCAUUAUUUGACUAGCUGUAAAAAGCGCUUUGUGGUCAGAGAAACCUGGUUUGAAUUAUCUGCCCCACCAAUUAACCAGCUUUGCAGGCUGGAAAAAUUAUUUAAACUUUCUGAACAUCAGUUUCCUCAUUGCUAAAAUAGAAAUCUUUUCUCAAUUAGAAAAUAGAAUUCUCAAAUAGAAUUGUUACAGUUACAUAUGAUAACACAUGUGAGGUCCUGCUGUGGCACAGUGGGUUAGGAAUCUGACUGCAGAGGCUCAGGUCACCAGGAGGUGCAGCUUCAAUCCCUGGCACAGCCCAGUGGGUUAAAAGAUCCAGCACUGUCACAGAGGUUGCAGCUGAGGCUCAGGUGCAGCCAUAAACUUUUUUUUUUUAAUUUUUAAAAAAGACUAACUUGGAAGAUAAUGCAUGUGAAAGUAUUUGGUACAAAGUAAGCAUCUAAUAAACUAUAAUUAUUUUAAUUAAAUCACCAUCACCAUAAUUUUUUCCCAGCUAGCAUGGGUAUACUCUGCCCAUUGCAUGGCAAAGAAAUCAAAGCACUAGAUUUGAGUCUUAGCUCCAAAUCUUAUUACCUAUGAGAUCAAAAUAGAUCAUUUAAGGUUUCUCAUUUGAAUUCCUUAUCUAUAAAAUUGGGGUAAAGUAAGAACUACAUUACAGAGUUGUGGUGACAACUAAUUGAAAUAAUACAAGGAAGUAUCCACUGCCAAUAUGGGGUAGUUCUUUUUUUGUUUUUUUGUCUUUUUGCCCUUUCUAGGGCUGCUCCCGCGGCAUAUGGAGGUUCCCAGGCUAGGGGUCUAAUGGGAGCUGUAGCCACUGGCCUAUGCCAGAGCCACAGCAAUGCCAGAUCUGGGCCGCGUCUGUGACCUACACCACAGCUCACGUCAAAGCCGGAUCCUUAACCCACUGAGCAAGGGCAGGGAUCGAACCCCCAACUGGUUCCUAGUCAGAUUUGUUAACCACUGAGCCACGAUGGGAACUCCUGGAGUAGUUCUUCACUAAAUGAUAUUGCUCUUACUCAGCAUGUCCAGAUUUUGUAUUCUGGCCAAUGGAGAGGCAUUCCUGUGUUAUAAGUGAAUAAACUGUCAUUUAAUUUGUUUGUUCAAUAGUUAAAUAUUUUUAGUGUGAGGUGGUCCCCUAGGCCCUCAAGGGCUACUCAUCCCUGGAGAAAGUGAUCAAAUCACCUUAAAAAACAUGUAAAAUUGUGGAUGAAAUCAGAUUAGCUCACCAAUCCUUUUCCACCUAAGAAGUCCUGCCCCAUGAAAUCAUUUGUUCUUUAGUAAAAAUGACUGUAAGCAUAUUAAAAAGAAAUGAAAACCAGAGUACUGAGUUCCAUAUCACAUCUAAGUAGGGAAAAAUGGUUGCAAAUUUCCUGUGGGUAAAGUCCAAUUUGAGGUCCAUUAGUUGCUAGACAUGAGAGUAGUUUCUCAGGAGCUUGCACCCUCUUGUUGUCUGUCACACCCGACCUCAGCUCUGGGCCACACGCACUGAUGUCUGCUCUGUGCUUCUGCCGUGCUGAACUACCUGCACUUCCUUAUGUCAACACCACUGUACCAUCUAGUCCCUCCCUACCUUUCUUCUACACGUGCAUAAAUCUGAAGACUCAGCUCAAGCAUCAUUUCCUCUGGACAGACUCUUCUCUCACAUCAUCAAUACACUUCUUCAGUAUUUCUUUGGACUCUGUCUUAAAGUUCACUAUAGACAUCCCAGGGAGUAUGUUUUUUAUGCUCCAUCUUCUCUAAAGCAUGAAGUGUAGACACUGUAUCUUAGUUCCCUUCUCCCCUGACUUUUCUUAUUUUUUACCUCAGGCCUAGCCCAUAGUAAAUUCCCUCUCUCUCUUCCUCCCUCCCUCUCUUCUUUUUGGCCAUGCACAUGGCAUGUGGAAGUUCCUGGAUCAGGAAUCAAACCCAUGCCACAGCAGUGACCCAAGCCACUGCAGUGACAACACCAGAUCUUUAGGCCACUACACCAAGAGAACUCUAGCUAAGUUCUCACUAAUACUUAACUUGAGACUGAAGAUCAAAAAUUGAGAUAAAAAUAAGCAGUCAUAACUUUAAUUGGAGGGUAGAUGGCAAGUGUUGCGAUCUUCCGGUGUGUUAUUCUUAGCAAGUUUUCUGUUGUUAUUUGUUUUAUUUUGGUUUUAGUGUAGAGUACAUUUUUAAUCUCUAAAAGGGGAAUAAUAAUUAUUAUUCAAGAUGAUUGCAAGAUUUGGACAUGAUAACUCAUAGAUGCACAUAAAGUAGUACUUGGACCAAGGUGAGGGAUAAGUAGGUAUUGCUAACCUAACCCAAUGAUCAGUAGUCUUGGAGUUCCUAUCUUGGCACAGUGGAAACAAAUCCAACUAGGAGCCAUGAGGUUGUGGGUUCAAUCUCUGACCUCACUCAGUGGGUUAAGGAUCUGGUAUUGCCGUGAGCUGUGGUGUAGUUCACAGAUAUGGUUUGGAUCCUAUGUUACUGUAGCUGUGGUAGAGGCCAGCAGCUGUAGCUCCAAUUGGAUCUCUACCCUGGGAACCUCCACAUGCUGUGGGUGCAGCCCUAAAAAGCAAAAAAAAAAAAAAAAAAAAAAAAUCAGUAGUUUUUCAUAAAAAACAACUUAAGCACAAUAAUCAGUAACUGACAUAGACCUUACUAAAGAUUUCAAGGGAAAAACAGAGAAAAGUGUUUAUGUCUCACUCCCCACCACAAGCCACAGAAAAUCCUCAGUGGAAGGCCUCUUCUCGGCAAUAACAGUACUGGGGAUUUCCUCUUUGACCCUUGGGUAACUACCUAGAGGUAGAAUAGUUGGCUUAUAUAACAGAUGAAUGCUAAACUUAAGAAAUAAAGAAAGAAAGAAAGAAAAACCACCAAACAGUUUUUAUAAGGUUUUGUACCAGUCUACAUUCCCACUGAGAGUAUCUGAGGGGUCUAGUUUUUCCACAUCUUCAUCAACUUUUGGUAUAGUUGGUAUUUUAAAAUUUUAGUCAUUUUAUAUCAUAUCCAUAAUGCUCUUAACAUCUCUAAUACAUAAAGAACUACUUAAACUAGUAAGAAAAGAACAAUCAAAAAACAGACAUAAUUCUUGAAAAAGUACUUAACUAAAGACAAGACGGUUAAUUCAUCUGCUGAGAGUAGGAAGAGCCUAAGGAGAAAGAUGAAUCUUUAAAAUGGGCCAAGAAAGGAAUGAGAAUUACUCAUGACUCAGACCACAUGACUCAGAAGGAUUCCGUGGUAACAGUGGGAGCCCAAUUGAGGCAUUAUUCAAUAGGGUUAAAUAAUUUCUUCAACACUGUUCAGUCUCUUGGGAACAGCAGCAGAUAAGCAGGGUCCAAAUCAGAGAUAAUAAUUAUCACAACGAAUUAUUCCAUGAGAAAUAACAGGGUGUGAAAACUGCUAAAACCAACAACUCCCAAAUUCGAAUGAUUUACCUCACAGAGUUUCUCACCUGACAUUGAAGUGCAGGUCAGUGGAUGGUCUCUACUCCACACAGUCACUCAGGGACCCAAGAUCCUUUUAUCCUGUCUCUUCUGUAAGUCUUUGAAGAUCUCUUCAUUCAUCUAGCGGAUGUAGUAAUAAUGCUAGGAUUAGACAUGGGAGGCUUUGAUGAGCUAGGUCUGGAAGUGCCACACAUCCAUUCAAACUUCACGGCCAUAACUUUGUCACUGGUUUGAUCUAAUUGCCAGGAGAAAGGGAUAAAGAAAUUACAUAUCCUGCACAUGAAGAUAAUAAACACAGUGAUAGCCAUGUUCAGUCUCUGACACACAAGGCAAAAGUCAGGUAUCAGAAUAUUUUUCAGUAUAAGAUAAAAUAGAGAUAUGGGAAUUUUUCAAGCUCAGUUUACAUAGUGACAUGAUGUAUUAGACACCUUCAUCUCCCACUUCUCUUCUGUAACACUAGUUCAUGCCCCAGCUCCUUAACUUUUUUAGCACUUAGGCCGGUCUUCCUUUCUGCCUUAUUCCUGGCAUCAUUCCCAGUUUGUACAUGAGCAUUCAUAUUCCUCCAACUCUGUGCCAAGAAUUCACAUUUGUGUUUGAGUUCACUCCCUCUACAGAGAUCCAUUCUAGCUGCCUGUGGUCUGGUUUACCUUUGUGCUCAGUAGUUGGUUUCCUCUGUUGUUUUCUUCACUGACUCAAAAUCCUAUUCAUUCUUCAAGGCUCAGCAUAGUUCAAAGAACAUUUCUCUGGGGAGCUCUUGCAUAAAAACCGAACACCUGGAGUCCCCAUCAUGGCUCAGUUGUUAACGAAUCCGACUAGGAACCAUGAGCAGAUGUUUUUUCUUAAGUGUGUGUGUGUGUGUGUGUGUGUGUGUGUUCAUAAUCCUGAGCACAUGUAUUCAUGGCACAGAUCCAAUAAAUAUGAUCUCAUCAGAAAAGUUCUGAGAUUCUCAUUUCUGCAGUAGAUGGUGAAAAGAUUUAAACUCAUGUGUUAAGUAUAAGAAAUACACAGAUACUCUUUUUUAACAAGAAGGAAUCCUGAAUAAGCAAGCACAAAAUGUAUCUCAGUAAAUAGGGAAGACUAUAUAAAUUGUAUCAUGUUAUGCAAAUACAAAGCAUUAUUAUUACAAAGUAGAAUAAAAUUAAAGUUACAAUUUUGUAUGUUCUCCAGUUACCAUUAAGAAUCCAGUUCAUAACUCCGUUUUUUAUUGCUUUUCUUAAAUUCUCUGUUGGGAGAAAUUAAACUCAUUGGCUAUUUUCCACCAAAAAAUUGCUUAAUAGAGCCAAACACACUUCUGUAACUGCUCCUUUUUCCUAAAUACUGCAGGAAAGCCCCAUGGACAUCUGGUUUAAGCAAAUAGAGGCAUAUGACCAAUUAUGCAUGCAAAGUGGAGAGAAAUGACAAAAGAUUCAGAAAUUGAGGGUUCACAGCAAAAUAAGUGUCCUUUAAUAUAUAAAAUAUAUUUCAGAGAUAUAAAUUUUUUUCUACCGCACAUGAAACUGACAAAAAAUAAAUAUACCAAACCCUUUCAUUGUCUGUAAGGUUCAUCUUUGUAGGAAUCUUGUUUACAAAUUCGCUUUUCAGGAAGUUGAUUUAUAGCUUUGAGGUUGCUAUUCCUUAAAUGUUUCUAAGAAAGUAAAAGUUACCAAGUUAGUACACAGAAUUAAAAACUGAGGCUGAAAUAAAGAAUAAAGACAACUAAAAAUAUUUCAUGCCCUCAUUUUUUUUUUGAAGCCUUGAAGUGAUUUUUUUUUUUAAGAGUUCAUGUUAUGACCCUAGUUGAAAAUACUUCUCUCUCAUUGUCAUUUUAUUCUGUACAGCAUUAAACAACAUGGAAUCUAGGUUACUUCUGAUUAACUAAAGAUUGAAGGAGACAGAGUAUUUUCAGGUUUAACCAUCUCCUGACUAUUCUAUGGACUUCUAUAGUAAAAUAAAAUGCAAGCAAAAUAAAAUGAAAAUAAAAUAUAAAAAUAUUUAUAUGAUUUAACUAAAUUAAAAUAGAUUCUGAUAAUUAGCACUACCACACAAAGGGCAAAAAUGUGUCUGCAGAGAAUACACUGGCAUUCCUUCAGUAACAACAAUGAUAUAUUAAGCAUCUACCUCAUGUGAGGUGCAGUAAGAGUUGAUUUAUAGGUUACACCUAUUAGCCAGAGUGGAGUCCCCCACCACCUCACCACUCACCAGACAACACAUCUGUAAAAGAAAUUCUGGAACCAGUCAUGUUGGGAAAAGAUAUGGCCCGCUAAAUCUACCACCCUGUUUUUCUUGGUCAUGUCCUAAGACUUAAGGUCAUCUGCCCUUUUAGGUCCUCAGUCACUCUCAUCUAUCCAUCCAUUUAUUCAAAAGCAUGCAGUGACUUACUGUGAGUUAGGCACUUCUUUAUGGGAUGCAAACCAGAUACAUUUCCUAUUCCCACAUUACUUUAGUAGAAGAGACAGUUAUCAAAUAGUUACCUAAAUGCCUAAAUAGUUAUGCAUUAAAAUAAGAGCUGUGGUAGAAAGGUAUCAUAUGCUACGAGAAAGAAUAUUAGUGAGGUCUAAUUUAAUUUGGGGACUUAGAAAAAAAAAAGAACUUUAAGAAAAUAACUUUUUUUUUUUUUUCUUUUCUAGGGCUGCUCCAGUGGCAUAUGGAGGUUCCCAGGCCAGGGGUCUAAUCGGAGCUGUAGCUGCCGACCUAUACCACAGC